UACGUAGGUGGCAAGCGUUAUCCGGAAUUAUUGGGCGUAAAGCGCGCGCAGGUGGUUUCUUAAGUCUGAUGUGAAAGCCCACGGCUCAACCGUGGAGGGUCAUUGGAAACUGGGAGACUUGAGUGCGGAAGAGGAAAGUGGAAUUCCAUGUGUAGCGGUGAAAUGCGUAGAGAUAUGGAGGAACACCAGUGGCGAAGGCGACUUUCUGGUCUGUAACUGACACUGAGGCGCGAAAGCGUGGGGAGCAAACAGG
rnacentral:rRNA from 1 species